AGGAUACAGAGGGCCUGUGGAUAUAAAGGGCUGACUGGAUGUACACGUUUAUUAUAUAAUUUUGUUUGUAAAUUAUAUUAUGAUUUAAUUCUGUUUAUAACUUUAUAAUUUUUUGUUUUACAAGCCUAUAGAAUUACAUAUAAUUACUGUAGUUUAUCUUUAUCUUUAUUUCACGGAGAGGUAAAUGAUGACCAGGGAGUUACAAAGCUUCGUAAGUUUCUCGACCUCAGCUGCUGAAGUCCUCUCAGUAGCUGCAGUAUCUCAGAGGGCAAAGACAGGGCCAAAUACUGCAUUCUGGAUUCUCUUCAUUGUUGUCCCGCUGCAAGUGGAGAGGUAUCCAGGCUGGGCCUUGUCCUAAGAUAUGAUAGAACUGAAUUCUUCCAGCAAGCAUGUGAGCUUAGAAGAGAACACCAUGAGCCACACGAGAAUGCAUACUGGCCAACACCCUGUGCAAAGAUCCAGAGAAGCUGUGCUUAGACUCCUGACUCAUGAAAAUAGUGAAUUUAUAAAUGUAUAUUGUUUUAAGAUGCUAAA